UGGUGAAAUGAUGGCAUACCAUCUUUCGGGACUGACACUAUAAAUGGAGAGUUCCUUCAGUAUACUGAUCACCU